rnacentral:rRNA from 1 species
UGGUGAAACCCUGCAGCUUAACUGUAGACUUGCCAUUGAUACUGUUUUCUUGAGUAUGGUCAAGGCAGGCGGAAUGUGUAAUGUAGCGGUGAAAUGCUUAGAUAUUACACAGAACACCGAUAGCGAAGGCAGCUUGCUGGGCCGUUACUGACGCUGAUGCACGAAAGCGUGGGGAUCGAACAGGAUUAGAUACCCUGGUAGUCCACGCCGUAAACGAUGAUCACUAGCUGUUGGCGAUACACCGAUCAGCGGCAAAGCAAAAGCAUUAAGUGAUCCACCUGGGGAGUACGGCCGCAAGGCUGAAACUCAAAGGAAUUGACGGGGGCCCGCACAAGCGGAGGAACAUGUGGUUUAAUUCGAUGAUACGCGAGGAACCUUACCUGGGCUUAAAUGUAGAGUGCAUUGAGAGGAAACUUUCAUUUUCUUCGGAACUCUUUACAAGGUGCUGCAUGGUUGUCGUCAGCUCGUGCCGUGAGGUGUCGGGUUAAGUCCCAUAACGAGCGCAACCCUUAUCGUUAGUUGCCAGCGGGUAAUGCCGGGAACUCUAGCGAAACUGCCGGUGUAAACCGAGAGGAAGGUGGGGAUGACGUCAAAUCAGCACGGCCCUUAUGUCCAGGGCUACACACGUGUUACAAUGGCCGGUACAGAGGGCAGCUACCUGGAGACAGGAUGCGAAUCUCGAAAGCCGGUCUCAGUUCGGAUCGGAGUCUGCAACCCGACUCCGUGAAGCUGGAUUCGCUAGUAAUCGCGCAUCAGCCAUGGCGCGGUGAAUACGUUCCCGGGCCUUGUACACACCGCCCGUAAGGGC